rnacentral:rRNA from 1 species
AGCGAACGCUGGCGGCGUGCCUAACACAUGCAAGUCGAACGUGAAAAGGGAAACCUGAGUAAAGUGGCGUACGGGUGAGUAACGCGUAGGUAAUCUACCCCAGAAUCUGGAAUAACCUGCCGAAAGGCGGGCUAAUACUGGAUAGAGCGAGGGAACUCGUAAGAGAGUUUUUCGGGAAAGGGAGCCCGCAAGGGCCUUCGUUCUGGGAUGAGCCUGCGUCUCAUUAGCUAGUUGGUAAGGUAACGGCUUACCAAGGCGAUGAUGAGUAGCUGGUCUGAGAGGAUGAUCAGCCACACUGGAACUGAAACACGGUCCGGACUCCUACGGGAGGCAGCAGUGGGGAAUCUUGCGCAAUGGACGAAAGUCUGACGCAGCCACGCCGCGUGAGUGAAGAAGGCCUUCGGGUUGUAAAGCUCUGUCGGAUGGGACGAACAUCUUCAUAGUGAAUAGCUAUGAGGACUGACGGUACCAUCAAAGGAAGCACCGGCUAACUCCGUG